AANNNNANCCAUGCANNNNNNNGUNNAGCAUUAUACNGCGAAACUGCGAAUGGCUCAUUAUAUAAGUUAUCGUUUAUUUGAUAGUACNUUACUACUUGGAUAACCGUGGUAAUUCUAGAGCUAAUACAUGCUAAAAAUCCCGACUUCGGAAGGGAUGUAUUUAUUAGAUUAAAAACCAAUGCCCUUCGGGGCUCCUUGGUGAUUCAUGAUAACUUCUCGAAUCGCAUGGCCUUGUGCCGGCGAUGGUUCAUUCAAAUUUCUUCCCUAUCAACUUUCGAUGUUUGGGUAUUGGCCAAACAUGGUUGCAACGGGUAACGGAGGGUUAGGGCUCGACCCCGGAGAAGGAGCCUGAGAAACGGCUACUACAUCCAAGGAAGGCAGCAGGCGCGCAAAUUACCCAAUCCCGACACGGGGAGGUAGUGACAAUAAAUACUGAUACAGGGCUCUUUAGGGUCUUGUAAUUGGAAUGAGUACAAUUUAAAUCUCUUAACGAGGAACAAUUGGAGGGCAAGUCUGGUGCCAGCAGCCGCGGUAAUUCCAGCUCCAAUAGCGUAUAUUAAAGUUGUUGUGGUUAAAAAGCUCGUAGUUGAACCUUGGGCCUGGCUGGCCGGUCCGCCUCACCGCGUGUACUGGUCCGGCCGGGCCUUUCCCUCUGUGGAACCUCAUGCCCUUCACUGGGUGUGGCGGGGAAACAGGACUUUUACUUUGAAAAAAUUAGAGUGCUCCAGGCAGGCCUAUGCUCGAAUACAUUAGCAUGGAAUAAUAGAAUAGGACGUGUGGUUCUAUUUUGUUGGUUUCUAGGACCGCCGUAAUGAUUAAUAGGGACAGUCGGGGGCAUCAGUAUUCAAUUGUCAGAGGUGAAAUUCUUGGAUUUAUUGAAGACUAACUACUGCGAAAGCAUUUGCCAAGGAUGUUUUCAUUAAUCAGGAACGAAAGUUAGGGGAUCGAAGACGAUCAGAUACCGUCGUAGUCUUAACCAUAAACUAUGCCGACUAGGGAUCGGACGGUGUUAUUUUUUGACCCGUUCGGCACCUUACGAGAAAUCAAAGUNUNNNNNNGGGNNNNNNNGNNGNNNNNNNNA
rnacentral:rRNA from 1 species